rnacentral:rRNA from 1 species
GACGAACGCUGGCGGCGUGCCUAAUACAUGCAAGUAGAACGCAGUUUCGAACGGGUGAGUAACGCGUAGGUAACUGCCUCAUAGCGGGGGAUAACUAUUGGAAACGUUAGCUAAUACCGCAUACUGUGAGAUGGACCUGCGUUGUAUUGGCUAGUUGGUGAGGUAAAGGGUCACCAAGGCCACGAUACAUAGCCGACCUGAGAGGGUGAACGGCCACAAUGGGACUGGGGAACGGCCCAAGCUCCUACGGGAGGCAGCAAUAGGGAAUUUUCGGCAAUGGACGGAAAUCUGACCGAGCAACGGCGGGGGAGUGAAGAAGGUUUUCGGAGCGUAAAGCUCUGUUGUGAGAGGAGCGGUAACUAACGAGAAAGGGCCGGCUAACUACGUGCCAGCAGCCGCGGUAAUUC